ACAAAGAAGUCCGCGGACUCAUUUGUGCAUUUUCCUCAAUGACCACGACCGCAGGGAUGCUGGAUCUCAAUAUCUUCAGCGCUGAGAAAGGCUUCGAUUCGAGAUCAUCAGUGCCGUCGUUUCGCCAGUGUCAAGGUCAUCGACGAGAUCAUCAGCCUUGACAAAGAAUGGUGGCAACAUCAAUUCGAGUUGGAGAUUCUCAGAAAAGACUUCAAUCGAAUCAACAAGGAGGUUGCAAGUCUCAAAACUGAGGAGAAGGAGGAUGCGACGGAGAUGAUAAACAGCACUAAUGGGAACAAGAAAUUGACCACAGAGAUGGAGAUUGAGGUUCAAUAGGCAAAGGCUGCGCUUGAUUCUAAGCUCGAGACAAUUGGCAAUCUUGUGAAUGACUCUGUUCUUGUUAGCAAUGAUGAGGCUCGCCUAUGAGCAAACAUCUUGCUUUUCGCUCUUUUAAUAUUUAUUGUGUUCUGUGGACACUAAUUUGACUAUGUUUUUCGGGCAAACAAUGAAAUAGUUCGAGUAUGGGGUGAUAGGCGUAUGGAAGACAAGUUGAAGGAUCAUGUUGAUCUUGUCAAGCUUCUUGACAUUGCUGAUCUUGAGAAAGAUGCUAAGGAAAGCCUCCUGCUAUUUGCUACAAAGGCGCCUGUUGCAGCUUGAGGUUUCCAAAUUCAGUGCAACAAGUGGGCUGUCAUAGUUCGCCUGCUUCUUGGGGAAAUUCCGGAGAGGACUGUCUUCAUGCAGAAAGGGAGGAAGUUGAAGAAGAGGACCAUGGAGGCUCUAGAAGUGGUUUCAUUUUUUAAAUUUUAUCACAACCAAAUGAUUACAACAAAAAUCAGGUACGUGUGUUGUUUUGAUUUUGUUCACUUGGAUAAAUAAAAGGUGCAUUAAUAAUGGUGUUGGUUUAACAUUUCCUAUUUUAAAAUUUUUUAGAAAAUUAGCUAGAAUCGCUAGCUUUGGGUUUAAUGGUGGUAUUGUGUUCUUUCGUUUGAUUUUUUUUUUUUUUUAAAUGUUUGGUGUAUUGGUAGUCAGAGUUUAGAUCAAAGUGUUUUAAAUAAUUUAUUUGGUUAACUUUGAAUUUUUAGAACAGUGAUACUGUACAAAUUGAAAAAGAUGAACAUACACAUUAGGUAAUAGAGCUGGCCAUGUUAGGGGAACCUCUUUAGCAUUAACCACUCAUUGUUACUACUCAAUGUUAUGCUUCAAUAGACUUUCUGUUACUAUCAACAGUCCAUACCACAUAAAAGUUUAGUACAUAUCGGAAGUCCUUUCUAAUGAUUAUUUAAUGGGGCGUUUGGUUGGAUGUAAUUGAAAAUGCAGUGGAUUUGUA